rnacentral:rRNA from 1 species
AUGGGCCAGACGCUGCGCCUCGUCCGCCCGCCCGUGCUCUGGGUCGUCGUCGAGGCCGGCAAGCCCACCCCGGAGGCCGCCCACACGCUGCGCCGCACCACCGUCAUGCACUGCUACGUUGGCUGCUGCGACAGCCUCAACGCCUCCCCCACAGUCGACUUCCGCCCACACCAGCUCAACGACGGCUUCGAGGUCAUCGAGAACCACCUCCUCGAUGGCGUUGUCUACUUCAUCGACGAGGAGGGCGUCUACUCCCUGCCGCUCUUCGACCGCCUCCGCCAGAUCAGGGAGCUCGCUCUGCAUCCGAGUCUCAGUCAUCCUGCACAGCAAGGAGCUGGACCAAGGGAGCAAGCAGCGCUGCUGGUUCCUUGA